rnacentral:rRNA from 1 species
AUUGAACGCUGGCGGCAUGCUUUACACAUGCAAGUCGAACGGUAACAGGCCUUCGGGUGCUGACGAGUGGCGAACGUGUGAGUAAUGCAUCGGAACGUGCCCAGAGGUGGGGGAUAACGCAGCGAAAGCUGUGCUAAUACCGCAUGUGAUCUGAGGAUGAAAGCGGGGGACCAAGCAGCAAUGUUUGGCCUCGCGCCUCUGGAGCGGCCGAUGUCAGAUUAGGUAGUUGGUGGGGUAAAGGCCUACCAAGCCGACGAUCUGUAGCUGGUCUGAGAGGACGACCAGCCACACUGGGACUGAGACACGGCCCAGACUCCUACGGGAGGCAGCAGUGGGGAAUUUUGGACAAUGGGCGCAAGCCUGAUCCAGCAAUGCCGCGUGCGGGAAGAAGGCCUUCGGGUUGUAAACCGCUUUUGUACGGAACGAAAAGGCUCUGGCUAAUACCUGGGGCUGAUGACGGUACCGUAAGAAUAAGCACCGGCUAACUACGUG